rnacentral:rRNA from 1 species
AAAUUGAAGAGUUUGAUCAUGGCUCAGAUUGAACGCUGGCGGCAGGCCUAACACAUGCAAGUCGAGCGGUAGCACAGAGAGCUUGCUCUCGGGUGACGAGCGGCGGACGGGUGAGUAAUGUCUGGGAAACUGCCUGAUGGAGGGGGAUAACUACUGGAAACGGUAGCUAAUACCGCAUAACGUCGCAAGACCAAAGUGGGGGACCUUCGGGCCUCAUGCCAUCAGAUGUGCCCAGAUGGGAUUAGCUAGUAGGUGGGGUAAUGGCUCACCUAGGCGACGAUCCCUAGCUGGUCUGAGAGGAUGACCAGCCACACUGGAACUGAGACACGGUCCAGACUCCUACGGGAGGCAGCAGUGGGGAAUAUUGCACAAUGGGCGCAAGCCUGAUGCAGCCAUGCCGCGUGUAUGAAGAAGGCCUUCGGGUUGUAAAGUACUUUCAGCGAGGAGGAAGGCAUUAAGGUUAAUAACCUUAGUGAUUGACGUUACUCGCAGAAGAAGCACCGGCUAACUCCGUGCCAGCAGCCGCGGUAAUACGGAGGGUGCAAGCGUUAAUCGGAAUUACUGGGCGUAAAGCGCACGCAGGCGGUCUGUCAAGUCGGAUGUGAAAUCCCCGGGCUCAACCUGGGAACUGCAUUCGAAACUGGCAGGCUAG